AGAUGAUAUGCCUGGUCCUCAAUGACAGAUUCUGCAGUUGAGGGAAACAAGAUGAAAGAAUGAGUUGACUUUGUGACAGCCUGACACAAAUGGGAUCCAUAUGGAAUUCUUCUAAGGAUAUGUACAUGGUGGAACUUUGCAUCAUUAAGACACACUCCAGGAGUUUCCUGAUUCAGGUGGCAUCUCAUGGGGAAGGCCCAUCUAAAAUGCCUUACAGGAUCUGUGAUGGAGCUAUACUCCUCUCCUCUAAUUCCAAAGGAUCUGUGGCUUUAAGACACUAUAUACACUGUGGAAGCUAGAGCUUUCUUUGCUUUCUUCUUCAUUUCUUCUCAACACACAAAAAAGGGCAAGCUUUAUCUUAGAUCAAUGUCAUUUUCUGAGGCUGUGUAAUUUUAGUUAAAGAUCAUACUUUAAGGAAACUAUUUUGAAGGAGAAUAUAAUUGAAUGCAUAUUCUGGAGAGUUUGGUUGGAAGGCCUCCAAUGUGGCUGUCAUGGUUAUGUAAAAUUCAACAUUGUGAUUGUAGGAAUGGUAAGUUCUUUUUAAACCCAAUUUUCCUGGAGUAGUGACAUACAUGGACAACCACAACUCAGGACUGAGUGGUCAACUAAUUACUGUUCCAGUUUUCCUUACCAACUUCUGGCAAUUCCUGCUUCUAUCUAAACGUGGAUAAUUUGCAUGGUUCUAGCAUGUUAAUGUUUGUCAUCAAAACUGCUUGGGCAUUAAUCUACUCAGCCAAUUUGCAAUUUAAUAGGCAUCAGGAGAAGCAAAAUAACAUAAUCUAACAAAAAAAGUUCUCUAGUGCCAUAAUUUAAGUUAUUGGGCCAAAAAGAGUUAGUUAAAUAUAUGGCCCAUAUGUAGUCACAUGUGUGCUUGUUGAAUUACUUGAUAUAGCAGCACUAACAACAGUUCAUUUUUACUUACAACAUUUAGGAGGUGUUCAAGUCCUUCUUUUCAUUAACUUGUAGGACAGCUGUCUGAGAAUGAAAAAAGAAAAGGAAACGAGAGAAAAAGAGCCAAUGAUCUGUGACAUUUGUCAAUAAUUUUAAGGAUUUUUUUCCUUAUAAAACCUAUUUUAUGAAAGAUAAUUUGUGGAAGAGGAAAUUUAAAAUGAAUCAAUCUGUUUUUUGAUAGUAUAUUUACAUACCAUGUGAAUGAUAUAUUCAGGAAAAAAUGUAGUCACAUUACCAAUUUUGAGGAUAUUCACAAUAUUUUCCUCUGGACUCUUUUAGACUGUAGUCAUCUUCUUAAACUUGCUAAUGUCUUCCUGAGGAAUAUAUUUUCCAUUGCCUAAAGUCACCAUGCAGAGAGCAGAAAUUUGCCAAUUAGAACCCCUAAGAAUUUCUGGAUCCAUGAAUGAGAAAAAUGGAUGUGCAAAUCAGUUCUUCAAGUGGAAAAAUUUCAGAGUCUCAGGUAAUCAAAAUUUUCCAUGUCACAGCAUCAGCUGGCUAACUUAGGUCCAUAAAAUGAUUGAAUCCCAGCCCAACUGUGCAAUAUCAGCAGUGUCAUCAGAAGCUCUGUGAAUUUUGGUCCCAAUGCAUCCAGAAUAGCUCAUCUACUGUCUCUCUGUGAAGUUCUUGGAAGCCAUACAUGACAUUCCUGCCUUGUGCUGGAUCCAAAUAAACUGAAGACCUAUUCUCACUUUCCAGAGAAACAGCUCUGCUGCAUGCAGUGACAGGAGAUGACUUUUUCUCUUAGGAAACCACAGUUCUGCCCUUAAUUUUUCCAAAUAGAAACCUAUUAUCCCCAAAGCUAAAACACACCCUGAGUGGCCCUCUGUGGCUAUUCCAGAGGUGAAGUUCUCAACUUUCAUGAGGACAGUGUUUUGAAGGGACUAAAGAUAACCAAUGGAAGGACUAAACAUGAUCAAGUUCAUUCUAAAAGUUUCACUUUCAAGGCCUACAAUGUAUUUGAAAAACUGUCAUAAAAUGAAGGAUUUGAGGUCAACUUGUAUAUAGUCAUGACUUGAUAUUAGGAUUCCUAUUGAGAAAUUAUUUCUAAUACAACUCACUUGUUAUGGAAAUUAUUUUUUAAAUGGCUAGUCAUCUGAUAUCUCCUACCCCUGCCAACUCUUCUUUCCACCUUUCUCUACUGAUUAUGUUUCAGGAUCCUUAACUCACUGAACACACAGAUGUAGACAUUGCAUCCUUAGUAAUGAACAAUGUCAAUACAUACCGAUUUUCUGAGUAAAUACUGACACGGUAAAUGUUAUAUGACAAUGGUGAUGGAAAUAUGAUCAGGAUGUAACACAUACUAAGCAAUGUUUUUAUUUGAGUGACCUUGCCAUUCUUAUCCACAUUGACAAUGGAUCCUAUCAAAGCAUUGUUUGACACAUGAGGAAUCUGGAAUUCAUUUUUACCUCCAUCUGUGAGAGAGAAGACAUUUAUGUAUGUAGCCUCAGUUUAAUUAAUUUAUUUUUGAUUAGCUUUAUUCUGGCUGACUUAGCCUGCCAGUAGCAAUAAACACUACAUUGACCUUUGUCUCACUCCAAUAGUAAGGAAAAUGUUAAAAUUGAUUUUUACAGCAGGAAAUUAGGGAAGGAUUUUCCUUAUUGCCAACAUUUUAUAUAACUAAACAUUUCACAUCUUCUAGUCUUACUGAAAUGUUUUCUAAAAUGUGUUCUAAUGAAGGCAACAUUUCUUUAAAUAACAUGAGCUUGCUGUUAUAUAAUAUAUUAUCAAAUACCAGUUUAAAAGUUGUUUUUGUUUACCUUUUACAAGUAAUUAAUUGAUUUCUCUUUAGGACUGAGAUCAAUUUAUAGCUCAAAACAAUGUGUAACCAUGUACUGAGUACCUAUCCUGUACCAGGCAACUUUCUUAACACUGCAUAUUAAUUAUUGCAUUUCCUCUGCCCCUCCAUCUAGGUGUAUGACUUAACAUAUUUACAGCUGCCACAGAUAUAACACAAUAUAUGGGAUGAAGACAAUUGUACUUGUGAGGAUAUGCAGGUGGUGACAGUCUACACAUUUAAUUCAGAUCCCACCUGGAGUUUUCACCUCUCUCUAUCUAGCUAAGUACAUCCAGUCUGCCAUGUUUAUAGGGAAAAGAGUAAAUGCUGAUCCAGUUUGCAUUGUCAAUAAUCUCUGUACCAUCCAUUCUCUUUUGUAGGCAUAACAUAGCACAUUAUUUGAAUCACACAUCAGGAUUUAAUUUAAACUAUGCUCAUUUGUGUUUCCCACUGCAAUAUCAUUAGUCUGCCAUGCCAAAGACUAAGUAGCAGUUGAAGCAUCUUCAAACUUUCAUAGGUGCAAACAAGUAGAUAAAUUCUGCCAAAGCCCAGUAAGUGCUUGAGUCCUGGGUUACAUGGAGACAGUUUAAAUCUGAUGUUAUGUAUCUCUUCAGAUUACUAGUACCAAAUAUGUUACCACAGUAUUUUGAGAAAGGAGGGUUUUGCAAAAAAUUCUCCUAAAUAGGUUUAAAAAGGUAAUCCUGAAACCAAUGAAAGUAAAUAUAUCUUCUGAGCAUUAUAUUGCUGUUAAGGCCACAGCUGGCAUUGUGUUUCUUAUGGUUACUCAUUAUUUCCUACAAAGCAGAAGCUGGAUAUAGUGCAAUUCCUUGUUCCCAAGAAGCCUAUAGAGUAAGGCCAGCUCACAUUGUUUCUCUCUCUCCUUAAGUUGCCAUGUCAGAAUCCAUGUGAAAAGGACUAUAAGAACGGAGAAAAUUACAGGAAAGAUGGUAGAAAACAUUGAUGAUUCAAACAAGGGAAAAAUAAUAUAUGGAUAAAUAAAAUGAAAACAUGCAUUUUAGAAAAAUCUACUGGUAAUAUAAAAGGAAAGUUACUGAUGAAUGUGCAGGGCAAAAUGUCAGGCAUAUUAAUUUACUUAUUUGUGUAUUCAUGGUGUAGCUUAUAUUAGGCAAGUGUUGGAACCACAGACUUAGUACAUUUAAGUUUUAAUAAAAAUUUAAGCAUUAGGCCAGUUAAAAUUCAGAAUGUUGUUUGGGGUCGUUAAAAAGAACUUAGACUAUAAAUCUUAACCAACAUCUCCAUUGCUUCUAACAGAUGCUUUGGUUAUGAAGAAAUGUACUUGGCGUUUAAAUUUCUGUAACUUGUCUGGGUUUUAAGUAAACCAAACCAUACCUUGAAUGGAUUAAGA
rnacentral:lncRNA from 1 species